rnacentral:lncRNA from 1 species
CCUGGCUUCUCUUCUGGUUCCAGGGGCUCCUGGGAUCGCGCUCCUCCUUCUCCCCAGCCCUCACCAUCCGGCAGCCUCUUCUGCCUCUGUUCCGCCGCCCUCUGGCUUCACUAUGGAACCCCCUGCGGCCCCUGGCCCCCUAUCUCUCCCCUCUGGGGCCCCUCUAUCCCUCCUCGGCUCCCCAGUCGACACCUUCGCCCCGCCCUGCAGUUCUCUCCACUUCUCACAUUUCUCCUCCUGCCCCCUCUCUCUACCCUCCUCUGUCCCAUGACUAUGAAUUUCACAGAGAAGCCUGUUUAUUUAGGUGACACCAAGUGGGAGACACACGAAACCGUUUCCCUAGGCAGGCGGGGAGCAAAGGAAGAGGAGAAGGCAGGACAGAUCUCCAGCUCCCUAUCUUCUGUGGGACCCUUUGACCCCUCAGCUGUCACAACUGACCUUUUCCAACUUCUCCUACCAGAGGCCCCACCCCCCACCAUGAAGCCCCUUUCCAGCCUGGAAUGUGAACUCCCCUUUCCGUGCCCCAAAUGUGGGAAGCGCUUCAGCCAGGGGGCCCAGCCUGACCCUGUACCUACACUCCCACACAGGUGACAGGCCCUGCUCCUGCAGCCGGUGUGGCCACAGCUCCUACCUGCCCCAGCCCCCGACACACAUGCCCACCAGUGUAGCAAGGGCUUCUCCCCAGAGCUCUGGCCGGCUGCAGCACACCACUGUUCACACAGGCACAUGGCCCUACGUCUGUGUCACCUGUGGAUGGGGUUCAGGAGCCACCCAGCCUCGUCUAUCGUGAGAAGACUCACUUAGUGAGCACAGCUUCCCCUGCCCCGAGUGUGGCAAGCACUUCACCCAGAGUGUCCGCUGAGCCCAGCACCUACGGACGGAUGCUCACAGGGGAGAAGCCCUACCUGUGCGGCUAGUGUGGCCAUGGCUUCAGCCAGCACCCCUGGCUCGUGGCCCACCAGUGGGUCCACCACUUGGUUCCUCUGCUGUCCCUGCCGGCCCACACCUGCUAGGUGUGCUCUUCCCUCGGGUGCGGGCAGUAGCCUGCUGCCACACAGUGCAGCACAUGAGAAGCCCUUCUUCUGCCCCCAGUAUCCCGAGGGCUCUGGCUACUCCAACCUGCAACACCACCAGCAGGACCACGGGGGGAGCGGCCCCACCACUGUGACCAGUGCAGCAAGGGCUUCAGACAGAGCUCAGGGCUGUGUGGCACCAGGGAGUCCACAGGGGCAAGACUGCGAGUGCAGUUUCCGGUCCAGCUCCGGCCUGGCGCAGCACCUGCAGGGCCGCUCUGGGGACAGGCCCUUCUGCUCUGGCGGCUGUGGCUUCACUCAGAGUCCCCAUCGACCUUGACAACAGGCCAGGGCUGGUGAGGAGCACAGGGAUGAACAUGGAGGGGGGGGACAUCUGGAGGCCAAGUCAAGGCCCCUGUGGGGAGCCAGCCCCCCAACUCCACAGCACUCUAGGAGGGUAGAGGGGCAGUUGGAAUGACUGCCUCUUCUGUGGGAGGCAUAAUGGAGCACAGCUUCCACCACACCCCAGCCAGAGCAACUUUCAGAGCAACCACAUUGGGUGGCCAGAGUGUCUCUGCUGGACCUACUCAAAGCUGGAAUGGCCAGGUCCACCUCACUUCUAGUCCAACGUGCCAGUUCCCCAGAGAGCUCCCGGCCUGGGAAAGAGCUCUCCCUGUUUCUUAGAAAGGACUCUGUACUUCUGAUCUUCUGUCCUCCGUCUGAGACAUUUAACCAGGAUGUCUGGGUCCUGCUGCCUCAUGGAUGGAUCCGAUUCCCUGGGAUUUUUUUGAAGGGAUCAUUUCAAAGAGAUAACUGAAUCCCCAUAGAUCUCCAUGACAACGCCCACCAUCAAAUCCUAGUCCCCCACUAACCCCUCCAACCCUCUCAUUUCCCCCGAGGCUUCUGGAUGCUUCUUGCCUCUGGUGCUAAAGCUACACCCAGCACACCUGUCUGAUGCUGCCAUCUCCCUAUGCCUACUCCUGGCCUUGCUAGGCCCUGUUUCAGGACCCCAGGGCUUCCUAAAACCUUCAUUGCACUUCAGUCUAGGAAUAAAGCCCAGAUGGAGGCUGCUCUUUCCAGCUGUACAGAGGCCUCCUAUUGAAAGGUGCAAAAGGGCAGAGGCAGGUGUCCAAGGAGAGGGCAGGGAUGUGGAGGAGAUGGAGACCGGAGGAAAAGCCAAAGGAGUUUGGAGGAGAAAGUGGGAGGUUCUGGAAUGUGGAGAAAAGACAGCAGGGCUGUGUGAGACAAGACCCACAAGAAACAUCUCAGAAAAACUUAGAAACAAAUGUCUUCAGGUACGAACAUCCCCGGGGAACCACUCAUUUCUUCUUCAGUUGACAAGUUUCCCCCAGUGUUGUGAAGGCACUGAGUUGCCAACACAAGCACUUCAUGUCCUGCCAUUUGCACUUUUUCCACAAAAUUGCUUGCUAACUGUCUUCUUCGUGUGUUGGCAAACUGAUUUUGAACAAAGAGUCAGGAGGGAGUCCCACAGCAGAGUCCCUUCCAGACUGGUGCCCCUGGCCCAGCCUGGCACUGAGGAGAGCGCUGUCAUCAUUCACCCUUUUAGAAGGUUCUGCUGGGGGAGUCACUCCCUGGCAACACUCACAGCAAGUUUAUGGUUACUGUUCAUGUUAAAGGAUAAGGUAGACCUCAGCUCUUGUAUUAACUUCCCCCAAAGUAUACUCUUUAGAACUGGGCAGAGUCCUCCCUAGGAGGUAUCAGAGGCUGAUUACUGACACACACACGAAGGAAUUAAAGAACUGGAGGGAUAAAAGGGUCACUGAGAGACUGCUAAUCAGUUUCACCCUUUCAGGAAAUAUGUAUUGAGUCCACCACGUGUCAGGGACUGUUCUGGGACCUGGGUAUUACAAACAGGCAUAUGAUGCAGCCCCCGCCUUCCACCGAUUUGAUCUAGGCGUGUUCAGCAUCUCAAUAUUGAACCCAGCAUCUAGUCCUAUCAAUUGUAUCCACUAUACUCUCUCAAGUAUGUCGUCUCUUUCCCACCCCUCCACCUCCCUUGUCCAGCUACCACCUGGACCAUCUGGUUCUCCUCUGAAUCAUCGUGAUGGCUGGAGAGGCUGGGAAUGGCGUUCUCUGUGAGCAGCACACCUGAGUAACAGAGGCCUCUUUGAAAUGUAAAUCUGAUUGUUUCAGGCACCCUGCUGAAGCCCAUUCAAUGGUUUCCCAUUGAUCUCAGGUUAAAGACCCCAGUCCUUAACCUGGCCUUUAAAGCUCUGCGAGGUGUGGCCGUGUCGGCCUCUCCAGCCUCAUCUCCCACCACUCACUCCUCUCUCCCUCGCGCAGAGCGCUCCACUUCCUGUCGGUGUCCCGCUUCCUCCCGCAGAGAGCGGCGGCCAGGCUGGGCCCUCCUCCUGAGAGGUGCUUUCUUCCAUUUCUCUCUUAGCUCCUCAUUCUUCGGAUCUCAGCUCCUUUACCACAUCCUUAGGGAAGGUACCCUAUCCUUUCCUUCAGGGUCCAAUUCCCUCCUCUGGGCUCCCACACCAAGGUGCACCUUUCUUGGAGGCACUUGGCACAGUUCAGUUCCAUAUUUGUUGGUGAUUAUUUGAUUGAUGUCUGUCUCCCCACAGACUGUAAGCUCCCUGAGGGUGGGCACCACGACUGCAGAGGCUCACUCUUGCUAUUCCCUGGAAACUCCAUAAAUAUUGAAAUAUUGGUUGAAUGGGUGCACAUGCGCCAGGAUCUGCGGCAGAGGCUAGAUAUUUCAGGAUUUCAGAGAGGGUGGAUUGAGGCCGUAAUUUCCCUCCAGCGGCUGCCGCCCAAGAGUCCCAUAUGCCAUUUCCUUAGCACCAUUCCUUUCUCCAUGUUUCCUGGUGUCAUCCAUCUUCCCAGCUCCACCUCUCCGGCACCCUCCUCACCUCCACCUUGCCUAGGAGAACCUUUCUCCCUUUAGUUUUUUAGUGCCCCUUCCUGGUCUUGGCUCCUUGGCUUCAGAAGCCAGCAUGGAAUAAUGAGGCAAUAGCACAGGAUUCAGAAACAAAAUAUCUGGAUUCAAUAACAAGGUUAAAAGUAUUAGCGGUGUGACCUUCAGCAGGCUAUUAAACCACUCGGAACCCUAGCUUACAUAAAAUGGGAACAACUUCGAAAUCAAGCAAGUUGGAGGAAUUAGAAAAUCUAAAAGCACCGUCAUCUAGAAAUACUGGAUAAAAUAUGAAAAAAAUUAAACAUAUGACUGAAUUCUCAAAAGGAAAGUAAAAUUCCAGGUGCCAGAAACAAAGAGGAAACUGAAAGCUGGAGGCUGAGCUGACUGUGGCCACGGUGACCAGAAGGCGGCUGGAGGGAAUGGGUUCUGUUAACUCAGGGCUUGAGUGCUUCCAGCCACCCGGGGACAGGAGACGAGGUCUUGGUCCUGAAGAGGUGGGGAAAUUAGAUGAAAGGAGCCAAAGCUGACUCAAGAAGAAAUUAAAAACCUGAACAGAUCUAUAAAUUCUAAUAAAUUAAAUGAGAAGCUAAAAAUGUACACGCACACAGCACCUAGAUGGUUCCUAGGUAUAUUAUUCUGCCAACUCUUAAAGGAACUAUUUAUUUAUUUAUUUAAACUACACCAGAUAACGGUAAAAGAGGAAAAUCUCACUUAUAAGACUAAAAGUCCUAAAUAAAAUAGUAGCAAACUGAAUCCAGUAAAGUUUGUGCAAGUGUGUGUAUAUAUGUAGGUAAGUGUGUGUGUGUGU